UGGUAGAAGGCGCAUCACCGAGUGCGGACGUGCAUAGAGAGCCUGCUGAUCGCGGCGCCUCAUUUGGGAUUGGAGUUCUGAUGCUGGUGUUGGUGGUGGUGGCUUCGGCAGUACUUGGUAGUGGUGGUAAUACGAGAUGCAAACUACUCAUCCCUGCGUCUUGCGAUUCGAAUUUUGAUAGGGUUUCCCAAAUCUCUUCAAUCGUCUCUCGGAUCUGAGAACACGAACAUCGCACUCCAGUGACCAUUGUUACAGCACAUCUCCUGCAAGUUUCGAAUAUUUGACAGCUGCAAUGUGUUGAUGGAGCACUAUACUAUAAUCCUCAAAUGACUACAUGGUCCGAAGAUAGAAGAGAAGUAAUUGACGUAAGAACUGGUGGCAAAUUACAUCAGAGCUGAUGCAGACGACAUAAUUGAAAUCGAUACAGAUAUCGAUAAAGCAAUUUUUCGCCACGAGGUAGCAUAUUCUCCACUUUUUACCCCGUAUUAACAAUGUGGCUGAUGAGGAAUCUUAUGAACCAUCAGCCUCGCUGUCAAUACGAGGUAAGGAGUGACAACCAACCAAUCAACGACCAGGACUCAAUUUGCUCAGCCAAUCAGCUACCAAAGAUGAAAUUUGGUCUCCAUGGUGACCAGUGACAUCGUAGUAGCGCUGUAAAAGUUAGUUGACGUCACCGUAGGCACCUAACUUCUUACAAUUUAAAGAGCAGUUCACUGAUAUUUGAUCAGCUUUAAAAAAUAUUACGAAACCAAAAUAAAUCAGUCAGUUAGUAUAAAGCUUUAUCUUAAACAUACAAUUAUGUAUCAUAGAAUGAAAAAUUGAUGUGCUUCUGUAAACGAUUUACUGAAAUAAUUGUACCGUCUCUACUCACUUAUAGAUCAAAAUACCUUCAGUUAAUGAAUUUGAAAUACUUACAUGUUGAAAAUCUAUGAAACAAAUAAAUUGGCUAAAAUUAUAUUACUUCUCA